rnacentral:lncRNA from 1 species
CAGUUUUCUUCCAAGGGAUAGUUAGAAAUAAAUUUGACGAAAAAGCAGUUCCAGGAGAGUAUGGCAACAGACUGGAGUGCACGCCCAAUCUUGAUUUGCUUAUGGGUGCAGGGUCAGUGAGAACAGGAGCAGUGUGAUUCGAUUUAAGGUCCAUUUGAUCCAGACUUCUAAAGCAAUUUAAGGUAGACGAAUGAGGUAAAAGUUUACAGCAGACAAUCCUUUUGAAUGAGAAGCACUAAUAUCGUAUAUAUCUUCACCCAACCCUUUUAUCAAUGAAAAACCACCUCUUCAAAGUGUUCUUAUCACUGCUAGUUGGCAAGCAGUCCAUCA